rnacentral:rRNA from 1 species
CCUACGGGAGGCAGCAGUGAGGAAUAUUGGUCAAUGGGCGCGAGCCUGAACCAGCCAAGUAGCGUGAAGGAUGACUGCCCUACGGGUUGUAAACUUCUUUUCUCAGGGACGAAGCAAGUGACGGUACCUGAGGAAUAAGCCACGGCUAACUACGUGCCAGCAGCCGCGGUAAUACGUAGGUGGCAAGCGUUAUCCGGAUUUACUGGGUGUAAAGGGCGUGUAGGCGGGAAAGCAAGUCAGAUGUGAAAACCAUGGGCUCAACCUGUGGCCUGCAUUUGAAACUGUUUUUCUUGAGUACUGGAGAGGCAGACGGAAUUCCUAGUGUAGCGGUGAAAUGCGUAGAUAUUAGGAGGAACACCAGUGGCGAAGGCGGUCUGCUGGACAGCAACUGACGCUGAGGCGCGAAAGCGUGGGGAGCAAACAGGAUUAGAUACCCGUGUAGUC